CAUAAAAGGUCGCGCACUGGCCUUGGGCGCGGGUCCCCCAUCCUGCGUUGCCCGUUCGAGUCCCUUCCUCAGCGACAACGGACACAUUCCUUUCUCGUCCGCGGCGACAACGACGAACUUCGGCGUCAGAGGGGCGAGCUAGUCCCCGACGUCGAGCAGCAACUCCAGCGCCUUCGCCAGUCCGUCCUGACACCCGACGGUCACCAGGAGGUCGCUCUCACCCCAACGCGGAGGAUUGUGGUUCCGGAGCGUCAUGUCCUUCAGCUGCUGGACCAGGGGGAUGAACCUGACGGAGUGGAAGGAGGGGAGAUCGUGGCAGUAACAACGUGAACAAUAAUCUCGACAAACACUUCAUCAACGUCGACGAUGAUGCCGAUUACCAUUUCAGCUGCAAUGAUAGAUCAACAUGCAACAGCAAGUCUCUACCGCACUUUUUAAGGGGUGUUGGUGAAGCAUCAUCACCGCGCUUUCGA